rnacentral:rRNA from 2 species
AGUCGAGCGGUAGAAGGAAGCUUGCUUCCUUUGAGAGCGGCGGACGGGUGAGUAAUGCCUAGGAAUCUGCCUGGUAGUGGGGGAUAACGUUCGGAAACGGACGCUAAUACCGCAUACGUCCUACGGGAGAAAGCAGGGGACCUUCGGGCCUUGCGCUAUCAGAUGAGCCUAGGUCGGAUUAGCUUGUUGGUGAGGUAAUGGCUCACCAAGGCGACGAUCCGUAACUGGUCUGAGAGGAUGAUCAGUCACACUGGAACUGAGACACGGUCCAGACUCCUACGGGAGGCAGCAGUGGGGAAUAUUGGACAAUGGGCGAAAGCCUGAUCCAGCCAUGCCGCGUGUGUGAAGAAGGUCUUAGGAUUGUAAAGCACUUUAAGUUGGGAGGAAGGGUUGUAGUUUAAUACGCUGCAAUCUUGACGUUACCGACAGAAUAAGCACCGGCUAACUCUGUGCCAGCAGCCGCGGUAAUACAGAGGGUGCAAGCGUUAAUCGGAAUUACUGGGCGUAAAGCGCGCGUAGGUGGCAAAGUAAGAUGGGUGUGAAAUCCCCGGGCUCAACCUGGGAACUGCAUCCAUAACUGCUUCGCUAGAGUACGGUAGAGGGUAGUGGAAUUUCCUGUGUAGCGGUGAAAUGCGUAGAUAUAGGAAGGAACACCAGUGGCGAAGGCGACUACCUGGACUGAUACUGACACUGAGGUGCGAAAGCGUGGGGAGCAAACAGGAUUAGAUACCCUGGUAGUCCACGCCGUAAACGAUGUCAACUAGCCGUUGGAAUCCUUGAGAUUUUAGUGCCGCAGCUAACGCAUUAAGUUGACCGCCUGGGGAGUACGG